rnacentral:rRNA from 1 species
CUGAGUACGGCGGAACACGUGAAAUUCCGUCGGAAUCCGGGAGGACCAUCUCCCAAGGCUAAAUACUCCCUAGUGACCGAUAGUGAACCAGUACCGUGAGGGAAAGGUGAAAAGCACCCCGGAAGGGGAGUGAAACAGUUCCUGAAACCGUGUGCCUACAAGUAGUUAGAGCCCGUUAAUGGGUGAUAGCGUGCCUUUUGUAGAAUGAACCGGCGAGUUACGAUUUGUUGCAAGGUUAAGCGGAAAAAGCGGAGCCGUAGCGAAAGCGAGUCUGAAUAGGGCGCAUAAGUAACAGGUCGUAGACCCGAAACCAGGUGAUCUACCCAUGUCCAGGAUGAAGGUAAGGUAAUACUUACUGGAGGUCCGAACCCACGCACGUUGAAAAGUGCGGGGAUGAGGUGUGGGUAGCGGAGAAAUUCCAAUCGAACUUGGAGAUAGCUGGUUCUCUCCGAAAUAGCUUUAGGGCUAGCCUCGAGGUAAAGAGUCAUGGAGGUAGAGCACUGUUUGGACUAGGGGCCCUUCUCGGGUUACCGAAUUCAGAUAAACUCCGAAUGCCAUGUACUUAUACUCGGGAGUCAGACUGCGAGUGAUAAGAUCCGUAGUCGAAAGGGAAACAGCCCAGACCACCAGUUAAGGUCCCCAAAUAUAUGUUAAGUGGAAAAGGAUGUGGGGUUGCUUAGACAACCAGGAUGUUGGCUUAGAAGCAGCCACCAUUGAAAGAGUGCGUAAUAGCUCACUGGUCGAGUGACCCCGCGCCGAAAAUGUACCGGGGCUAAACAUAUUACCGAAACUGUGGAUGAACCUCUUUAGAGGUUCGUGGUAGGAGAGCGUUCUAAGGGCGGUGAAGUCAGACCGGAAGGACUGGUGGAGCGCUUAGAAGUGAGAAUGCCGGUAUGAGUAGCGAAAGAAGGGUGAGAA